UAGAGUUUGAUCCUGGCUCAGGACGAACGCUGGCGGCGUGCCUAAUACAUGCAAGUCGAGCGAAUCUGAGGGAGCUUGCUCCCAAAGAUUAGCGGCGGACGGGUGAGUAACACGUGGGCAACCUGCCUGUAGACUGGGAUAACUCCGGGAAACCGGGGCUAAUACCGGAUAACUCAUUCUCUCUCAUGAGGGAAUGCUCAAAGACGGUUUCGGCUGUCACUUACAGAUGGGCCCGCGGCGCAUUAGCUAGUUGGUGAGGUAACGGCUCACCAAGGCCACGAUGCGUAGCCGACCUGAGAGGGUGAUCGGCCACACUGGGACUGAGACACGGCCCAGACUCCUACGGGAGGCAGCAGUAGGGAAUCUUCCGCAAUGGACGAAAGUCUGACGGAGCAACGCCGCGUGAGCGAUGAAGGCCUUCGGGUCGUAAAGCUCUGUUGUUAGGGAAGAACAAGUAUCGGAGUAACUGCCGGUACCUUGACGGUACCUAACCAGAAAAGCCACGGCUAACUACGUGCCAGCAGCCGCGGUAAUACGUAGUGGCAAGCGUUGUCCGGAAUUAUGGGCGUAAAGCGCGCGCAGUGGUCCUUAAGUCUGAUGUGAAGCCCACGGCUCAACGUGGAGGUCAUUGGAACUGGGGAUCUUGAGUGCAGAAGAGAAA
rnacentral:rRNA from 1 species